AUUGAACGCUGGCGGCAGGCCUAACACAUGCAAGUCGAACGAGUGGCGGACGGGUGAGUAAUGUCUGGGAAACUGCCUGAUGGAGGGGGAUAACUACUGGAAACGGUAGCUAAUACCGCAUACCAUCGGAUGUGCCCCGAUGGGAUUAGCUAUUAGGUGGGGUAAAGGACCACCUAGGCGACGGUCCCUAGCUGGUCUGAGAGGAUGACCAGCCCCACUGGAACUAGGACACGGUCCAGACUCCUACGGGAGGCAGCAGUGGGGAAUAUUGCACAAGGGGCGCAAGCCUGAAGCAGCCAUGCCGCGUGUAGGGAGAAGGACUUCGGGUUGUAAAGUACUUUCAGCGGGGAGGCGUUACCCGCAGAAGAGGCACAGGCAAACUCCGUGCCAGCAGCCGCGGUAAUAC
rnacentral:rRNA from 1 species